GUCCACAUCACGUUGAAACACCGGUUUCCGUAUGACCAUCGAAGUUAAGCAACGUCGAGCCUAUUCAGUAUCCUAGAUGGGUGACCGCUUGGGAAUUCCACGU